GUCCCCAUAGCUCAGCGGAUAGAGCGUCAGCCUCCGGAGCUGAAGGUCAGAGGUUCAAAUCCUCUUGGGGACG
rnacentral:tRNA from 1 species